AUUGAACGCUGGCGGCAUACCUUACACAUGCAAGUCGAACGGCAGCACGGGGCAACCUGGUGGCGAGUGGCGAACGGGUGAGUAAUGCAUCGGAACGUACCCUUCAGUGGGGGAUAACGUAGCGAAAGUUACGCUAAUACCGCAUAUUCUGUGGGCAAGAAAGCAGGGGAUCGCAAGACCUUGCGCUGAUUGAGCGGCCGAUGUCAGAUUAGCUAGUUGGUGAGGUAAGGGCUCACCAAGGCGACGAUCUGUAGCGGGUCUGAGAGGAUGAUCCGCCACGCUGGAACUGAGACACGGUCCAGACUCCUACGGGAGGCAGCAGUGGGGAAUUUUGGACAAUGGGGGCAACCCUGAUCCAGCCAUGCCGCGUGAGUGAAGAAGGCCUUCGGGUUGUAAAGCUCUUUCGGCCGGGAAGAAAUCGCACGGGCUAAUACCCUGUGUGGAUGACGGUACCGGAAUAAGAAGCACCGGCUAACUACGUGCCAGCCGCCGCCGUAACAC
rnacentral:rRNA from 1 species